CGAGGUUGGGGGUGGGUCUCCGGGCGCGUGCUCCCCCCCCGGUGAGGGUGAACUAACGGAGGUGGGCGGGCCGGCGCACCGGGUUAGCAGGCGUUUAUCCUGUAUGGCCGCAGCAGUCAGCGCCCGUCACCAGCACGAGCCCCGCCUGCAGAGCCCUAGGCGGCGUCCAGCAGGAGGCCUCCCGCGGGAACUGUCACUCCGCCAAACAAGAGAGAUAAACAGGCAAAAGUCUAGAAACAAGCCAGCUGUCCAUCUACAGUGGAAAGUGUAAACAAAUUGUGAUGUGUUCGCGUACUGGAAUUUUACCCUGGCGUGAAAAAUCCACGAACCACAGCUGCAAGCAACAAUAUGGUGUCAGUUCUCUAAGGGCAGGGCCCACGCCUGCAAUUUCCCUCUCCGGCACCU